UUCUGAACCCGUUGUCUUCCGACGGAACACGGACGGGAAAGAGCACUUACGGGGUGGUGGGAAUUAAAAAGAGCGAGGAUGUUUUCCUCGCUUCAUUCGUGAAUCACGUAAUAGCCGCGCCGCCCGAGGGCUCGUUUGGCUUGCUUGCAUCGCGGCACAGAUGCGCGCCAUGUCGCGUUGCCUUCUGAUGGUGCUGAGCGGGGAAUCGGCCUUCGGGCUGCGGUCGUGAGCAGCUCCGGCGGGACGCCGAGCGUUGGUCCGGCUGUGAAUUUCAGCCCUGCUCUCGGGCACCCGAAUAACCGCGUUUUCAGAGGGGUUACCGUCGGUAAUCUUGUCGCUCGGUCGGCGCUGUGGUGGCCGAUGGCGAAGAUAAGAAAACGGGAGUUGUUACAGGACGAGUCUCAUUUUGCACAACCUAAAUAAGAGCAAGAAGUAGAAGAGCCCUCCAAACAAAACGGGAGUAUGACCGUAUGAGAAACUCUUCGUACGUAAGGUAAUCCGAUCUGAAUUUAAGUGGUUGCCUUUUUACUUUCGGCUGACAUUUUUCCCCUCCUAAAACUAGAAUUCCGGGACUGUGAGCUUUGUUGCACAAGAUGCCCUGUUCCUUCAGCACAUGCCGACAGAUCGGUCUGCUUACCUUGCAGAGCACCGCUGUGCGCCGCUACAUUGACGUCUGUGCAGGGAGGCCUGCGGAAAGGGUGCCCAUUAAAGUCAGCCUUGGGCAGAGCGGGCAGGAAACCAGACAGGUAAACGAAGAUAGAGGGAAAUAGAAACGUGGGGUUCGGUUACAGCAAUCCCAAUGUAUCGGCAUUUCAGGAGAUAGUUUUAACCGUUUCUGUAUUCAAGACUUCUGCUGAUGAGAAGGAAACACGGAUCCGAUGGCAUUUUUGUUAUUUAGGCACGUGAUACGUCCUUUUUUGCCUCUUCUUAUUUUUGGAGUGUGACAUGGGAAAUCACCACAUGUACCCGGUUAGACGUUGCAGAAUUCCUCAGUCAAGAGCCACCUACAGGAGACAGUCUAGGAAGCAUCACCAGAGUGGCAGAAGCAGAGCUGAUUACCUCUGCAGGCAGGGAGGGAGCUGACUCGAACAGAACAAGACCCAGUUGAUCAAGGCACAUCUUGAUCUUAUCAUUCAGUUUCUCAGAAAAUACUUAAUAAAAGGCAAGAUUUCUGGGAAGAAAACGUGAAAGUAAGGGUUCGGGUGCCUACAGAGUGUGUAAGAAUUAAGAACAAAAUGGCUUUCUAGGAGGGAAGACAACUUGAACUGCAGUACAGUUUAAGUGAGGGCUGGCUGAGUUGCAACUUGAUGCUCACCCACUUUUUUCCUUUGUUCUGAGUGAUGCACCGAAGUAUAGCUAAUAACAAGAUAAGUGGCUCCAGCCUGACAACAACAAUUUAUAAGUAUAUAAUGUGUAUACAAAUGUCACUGCAUUUGAAUUUCCAGUCUUAUGAAUUAAGACUCUUAGUAGAGCAAUUUAAAAAUGUGAAAGCGUGUGCUUUUGUAAAUGGAUGGAAGCAAGAGUGGCAUACGUGGUCCGUGUAGUUUGACUUGCAAGAUCCAGGUUACCUUUGCUCUGGCAAGCUGUUUGUCGGGUCGGUCAUCUGUGUCCUGGUGCCUGAGAUGGAGCCCUGUGGAACAGGCAGCACGCCAUCCGUGCGUCCUUCUCUGGGAAGAAGCGUGCACCCGUUCUCAACAUGGGACAAGCGGUUCAGCUUUUGCCCGCUCCCCUUCCUUCAUUUUAUGUGUCCUUCGUGCGAGCUCUUCCACUUACAAGUCGAAAACCUGUGAGAACAAGUUGAACUCAGCUCAGCUAUGAAUCUGAAAGGCAGCUUAGAAGUUAGGAAAGGGAAGGCUGGAGUGAGGGUGGUGCUUCAUGAUCCGGCCCUGUUAAGCUCAGGCCAGGGCAGCUGUCCAGCUGAGUGGUGCCUCUUGCACAGCUGCUGGUGGCAGAGCACCGCUACUGCUGGCUGCCUGCGGAGGGCUGCCGGGCGCCUGGGCUCCUUCCUUACUUCCAGCUGCUGGAACACACUAGAAAAAAAGCUGAAAGUACGUGCAUAUAUAUCCGCGGUAGAAUAUGCGUGAGAUCAAGUCCUGUACAUUUUGCCGGAGGGUUACUUUGCACAAAAGAAGUAACAGAGAGUGGUAUUUGCAGCUCUGAUAGGGAAGUUUCCUGAGGCUGUCCCUGUUAAAACACGCUAUGUAUGUAAACAUUUAAAAACCUUGUGUUAGUGCCUGUAGCGCUGCAUUAAGGAUCGGAUUUAACUGUAUGAAGAGAAGCAGAGAUUGCUCAGCAGUGCUGUUGGUUAAGCUGAGGCUGUGGCUGACUGAGCUCAGGAUGUGACCCUGUAGGCAGCUCUCAAAAGCCCCGUCUAGCAAAAAUAUUAACUUGCGUGCGUGAUUCAGCUGUGAUUUAUGCUGCUGCUGAGGAUAGACACGAUUCCUAUCGCUAGUCUGGCGGUGUCAGAACACAUUAUAUAUACAUAUAUACACGGUUUAAAGCCCUUUGGAUUGCCGGAGUACGCGAUGCACGGGAGGAUGAGUCUCCCUUGGUGCUGCAGUACUGACGCGGUGGCUUUGCCGUGACAUAGCUCUCUUGCAUGUGACACGGUUUGAAGGCCACGCAGUCCUGCUAAACGAAUGAACGAACGAAUAAAUAAAUAAUAAAAAGGUGACAAUUAAACGAUAAAUCCCAGAAGGGUGCGGGUUAAUCUCUUCCUCUUGUCAACGGGGAUGGCACUGAUCUGCCAGGCGCGUGGGCGCUUCCUGAUGGAGGAGACGCCGCCGGUCGCGUUCUGCCAAGCUCCGUUCGUUUUCGAGCGGCGGCCGACCGGGGCGGCGGGGGCCGCGCACAGCUGCGCUCCCGCCGCCGGGAGCUUUCCCGCUCAGCGCCGGCGGAUCCCGCCCGGCCGAGCGCAGCGCGGGACGGCGGCCGCCCGCUCUGCGCGCUGCCUCUCAGCUCGCACCCUCGUGCGGCGGCCGCCUUCCGUUGUUUUAAGCCGUGUUCCCGCGUCGCGGAGACGGGGUUGUGUGAGGGACGCGUCGGGAUAA